CACGUCUAGAGGGCAUGUGACCAUUUUCCGCAGGAGGUGAGUGUGAAGAAAGGAGAAGAGAGAAUGAACAAGUGAACAAGGAGCGUGGCGUGGGCUACCUCGAAGCAAUGCUAAUAUACUCGCAGGGAAACAGGCAACAUGCAUCCAGCCAAGAUGCCCACCAUGACUCCAUCUUCCUGACCAACAGUGUGGGCAGUCCUGGUGACAGUGUGCUGCCAUAACAACAGGGGGAUGUCAAGCUCACAGUGAAAUUUGGUACCACUUGCCCGUCACUAUGCCAGCCGUCUACUGCUUCAGGGUGCUGGACUGCGCAGGCGGCAGGUGACACGGAUUUCAAUAAAAGGGAUUAUAGAUGUGGGGACUGCAGAG